rnacentral:piRNA from 1 species
UGUAAAGGUGCUCCUGGUGACUGGCUUUC